rnacentral:rRNA from 1 species
UACGGAGGGUGCGAGCGUUAAUCGGAAUUACUGGGCGUAAAGGGUGCGUAGGUGGUUUGAUAAGUUAUCUGUGAAAUUCCUGGGCUUAACCUGGGCAUGUCAGAUAAGACUGUUAGACUGGAGUAUGGGAGAGGGCAGUGGAAUUUCCGGUGUAGCGGUGAAAUGCGUAGAGAUCGGAAGGAACACCGGUGGCGAAGGCGGCUGCCUGGCCUGAUACUGACACUGAAGUACGAAAGCGUGGGGAGCAAACAGG